GUUGAAACACCAGUUGCCGUACGAUCACCGAAGUUAACAACGUCGAACUUGGUCAGUACUAAGAUGGGGGACCGCUUGAGAAUCCCAGGCGCUGUUA